CUGAAUGGCCUCUUGGCCUUCAACCUUGCAAACCUGUGGAAGCAAGAUGUGCUUCGGCGCCUCGGCGCCGCUUUUUAUGCCUUACUCAGUCUUUGUGUCUGAAUAAAAUACAAGAAAUA
rnacentral:misc_RNA from 1 species